rnacentral:rRNA from 1 species
UGUCUUUUUGAGAAUAAUAUAAGGUCUAAUCUGCCCACUGAUUUAAUUGAAGGGCUGCAGUAUAUUGACUGUACAAAGGUAGCAUAAUCAUUAGUCAUUUAAUUGAUGACUUGUAUGAAGGAUUGGAUGAAAUAUAAACUGUCUCUUUAUUAAUAAUAGAAUUUAAUUUUUUAAUUAAAAAGUUAAAAUAUUUUAAAAAGACGAGAAGACCCUAUAGAGUUUUAUAAAUAAAAUAAUUAAGAUUAUUUAAUUUAAUAAAAUUAAGAUUAUAUUAUUUAUUUUGUUGGGGUGACAGAAAAAUAUAUUUAACUUUUUUUUUAUUUAAAACAUUUAUAAGUGGUUAAAUGAUCCAAUAUUAUUGAUUAUAAGAAAAAAUUACCUUAGGGAUAACAGCGUAAUUUUUUUUUUUAGUCCAAAUAAGAAAAAGAGUUUGCGACCUCGAUGUUGGAUUAAGAUAAAAUUUAAAUGCAGAAG